AUUAAGAUGACAGAAUAAUGUGAAGGAUUUAAGAUUCUUUUAUGUAAAUUUUUAUAUAAUUUUCUCUUAAUA
rnacentral:tRNA from 1 species